rnacentral:rRNA from 1 species
UUGUCCUACGGGGCGCAGCAGUAGGGAAUAUUGCUCAAUGGGGGAAACCCUGAAGCAGCAACGCCGCGUGGAGGAUGAAGGUUUUAGGAUUGUAAACUCCUUUUGUUAGAGAAGAUUAUGACGGUAUCUAACGAAUAAGCACCGGCUAACUCCGUGCCAGCAGCCGCGGUAAUACGGAGGGUGCAAGCGUUACUCGGAAUCACUGGGCGUAAAGAGUGCGUAGGCGGGGUAAUAAGUCAGAUGUGAAAUCCUGUAGCUUAACCAUAGAACUGCAUUUGAAACUGUUAUUCUAGAGUAUGGGAGAG